GAUGAACGCUAGCGGGAGGCUUAACACAUGCAAGUCGAGGGGCAGCACGAGGUAGCAAUACUUUGGUGGCGACCGGCAGACGGGUGAGUAACGCGUAUGUAACCUACCCUGUACUGGGGGAUAACCCGGAGAAAUUCGGACUAAUACCCCAUAGAAAUAUCGGAAGGCAUCUUUUGAUAUUUAAAGUUCCGGCGGUACGGAUGGGCAUGCGUAACAUUAGCUGGUUGGUAGGUAACGGCCUACCAAGGCGACGAUGUUUAGGGGUCCUGAGAGGGUGAUCCCCCACACUGGUACUGAGACACGGACCAGACUCCUACGGGUGGCAG
rnacentral:rRNA from 1 species